rnacentral:misc_RNA from 1 species
CACUCGUCCCUCUCCCCUCUCUCCCCCAAGGCCCCAACCCACUUGAGCGAGCCCUAGAGAAGGCAAAAGCCAUGGCGUCCUUGGUUGUUCGUGCCGCCGGCGCCGCCGCCGCCGCCGCCCGUCUUCCCUCCCUCCGUCCUCGCCGCAACGGCAGCGGGGUGCUCUCCGGCUUGAGGGUCGGAACAGGGCACUACGGCGCGCGGCUCGCGCUUGCUUCGUCCACAGCUUCUCACAAAGAGUUCAAGAUCGCCUGCCUUACUGUCGAUGACAGCAGUUUGGGCCCGGGGGAUGAAUAUUUUGGCCUCUAUACUCCUAAGCUGCUUGCAGUUACUGAAGAUGAUUAUGAGUCUGACCCCCGCAUGCCAGGCGAGGAUGAGUUCGACCAUUUCUACCGUGUUCUCGCCAAGAAGACUGACAACCUGCUCAGCUGCUACAUUCCAAUGCCGCUUGCACUUUCUGAAGAGGAGAAGGCCGUGCAGAAGGAGUUCAAGCUGAUCGCGAGCGGAUGCAUCGACCUCCUGGUUGGUGCGAUGCGCCGCACCCCCGCAGAGAAAAGGCGCCCACUGUUCUUGGUGUUUGGUGAGCUGUACCCGGUAUUUGAGUUUGUGAGGUGGACUGCCGAGGCGGGGUGUGCCAAGUGGUGGAUGGCGCUGCAGAUCAUCGAGAAGCUGGAGAUCGUGCGCAAGAUGGUGUCGAGCGCUUUCGGCGGCGCCCCUGUUGACAGAAGCAUGGUGUUCGCCAGGAAGGUGGACCUCACCGGUGUCGACGGCGAGGCGCUCGCCGGCCACGGCCUCGGGAGCAACUUAUCAGUGGUGAUCUUCGUGCUGAUGGACAGCGUCUUCAGCAACGUCAAGUCGGACAUCGAUGCCAUGGUGUCUGACCCUUGCCGCAUGGCAGACGAGGAUGUGCAGGAGUUCGACCAUUACUACCGUCAUCUGGCCAAGAGGGCUGCCAAGCUGCAUGCCAUCUACCCGCCUGAACUACCAAAGCCGCUUUCAGAAUCUGAAGAUGAGAAGGCCGUGCAGGAGAGGUUCAAGGAGAUGGCGAACGAGAGCAUCGACCUCGCGGCUGGUGCGAUGCGCCGCAUCCCCGCGGAGAAAUGGCGCCCACUGAUCUCGGUGUUUGCUUAUGUGUUCCUUGUAUUUGUGCGGGUGAGGUGGUAUGCCGAGAGAGGGUGUGCCAAGUGGUGGAUGGCGCCGCAGAUCAUCGAGGGGCUCCAAACCGUGCGCAGGAUGGUGUCGAGCGCAUGCGGCGGCACCCCUCUUGACAUUGACAAGGUGUUCGACAGGAUGGUGGCCCUCUCCGGUGUCAGCGUUCAGGCGGCGCCCGGCGGCCACGGCGUCGUCGGGAGCAACGACUUAUCAGAGGUGAUCUUCGCCCUGAUCGACAACGUCUUCGGCAACGUCAAGUCGGACAUCUAUGACAUGGUCUCUGCUUCCACUCCUUGUUAGCCAUCGUCACCAAGCUACGUACGUGUCUACAUACAGGAUCGAGAUUUGCAGUCACUAGCCUCAAGUGAUUGGAUCAUGCAUGUGAUUAGCUCUAGUCUUGAUGUGAUCAUGCAUGUGAUACCUGGUGCCCAAAGUACUACGUUUCUGUUCUACACUUCUACCCAGUAGCAACUUCACUGUGUUGGAUCAGUCACAUUAUAUGAUUUCUGAAAUUAGCCAGCAGUAUACUCCAUUGUGUUGGAUCAGUCAUAUCAUAAGAUUUCUGAUAUUAGCCUUUC